rnacentral:rRNA from 1 species
CCUACGGGCGGCAGCAGUGGGGAAUAUUGGGCAAUGGGCGCAAGCCUGACCCAGCAACGCCGCGUGAAGGAAGAAGGCUUUCGGGUUGUAAACUUCUUUUCUGAGGGACGAAGAAAGUGACGGUACCUCAGGAAUAAGCCACGGCUAACUACGUGCCAGCAGCCGCGGUAAUACGUAGGUGGCAAGCGUUAUCCGGAUUUAUUGGGUGUAAAGGGCGUGUAGGCGGGAAAGCAAGUCAGAUGUGAAAACUCAGGGCUUAACCCUGAGCCUGCAUUUGAAACUUUUUUUCUUGUGUGCUGGAGAGGCCAACGGAAUUCCGGGUGUAGCGGGGAAAAGCCGAGAUUAACGGAAGAAAACCAAGGGCGAAGGCCGAUUGCUGGACAGUAACUGACGCUGAGGCGCGAAAGCGUGGGGAGCAAACAGGAUUAGAUACCCCAGUAGUC